rnacentral:rRNA from 1 species
AGCCUGCCCACUGAAUAAUUUUAAAUGGCCGCAGUAUCCUAACUGUGCAAAGGUAGCAUAAUCAUUAGUCUUUUAAUUGAAGGCUGGUAUGAAUGGUUGGACGAGGUAUUAACUGUUUCAAAUAAAUUUAUAAUUGAAUUUUAUUUUUUAGUCAAAAAGCUAAAAUUUUAUUAAAAGACGAGAAGACCCUAUAAAUCUUUACUUUUAAGUUUAUUUUAAUUAUUAAGAUGAAUUUUAUUAUAAUAAAAUUAAAAGUUUUAUUGGGGUGAUAUUAAAAUUUAAUGAACUUUUAAUUUGUAAUGACAUUAAUUAAUGAAUAAUUGAUCCGUUAUUAACGAUUAAAAAUUUAAGUUACUUUAGGGAUAACAGCGUAAUUUUUUUGGAGAGUUCUUAUCGAUAAAAAAGAUUGCGACCUCGAUGUUGGAUUAAGAAAAAUUUUAGGUGUAGUC